CCUACGGGAGGCAGCAGUGAGGAAUAUUGGUCAAUGGACGAGAGUCUGAACCAGCCAAGUAGCGUGAAGGAUGACUGCCCUAUGGGUUGUAAACUUCUUUUAUAUGGGAAUAAAAUGUUCCACGUGUGGGAUUUUGUAUGUACCAUAUGAAUAAGGAUCGGCUAACUCCGUGCCAGCAGCCGCGGUAAUACGGAGGAUCCGAGCGUUAUCCGGAUUUAUUGGGUUUAAAGGGAGCGUAGGUGGAUUGUUAAGUCAGUUGUGAAAGUUUGCGGCUCAACCGUAAAAUUGCAGUUGAUACUGGCAGUCUUGAGUACAGUAGAGGUAGGCGGAAUGCGUGGUGUAGCGGUGAAAUGCUUAGAUAUCACGAAGAACUCCGAUUGCGAAGGCAGUUCACUGGACUGCAACUGACACUGAGGCUCGAAAGUGUGGGUAUCAAACAGGAUUAGAUACCCCAGUAGUC
rnacentral:rRNA from 1 species